UACGGGGGGGGCAAGCGUUGUUCGGAAUUACUGGGCGUAAAGGGCGCGUAGGCGGCCUGCUAAGUCGGAUGUGAAAUCCCUCGGCUCAACCGAGGAACUGCAUCCGAUACUGCCGUGCUUGAGGACUGGAGAGGAGAUUGGAAUUCACAGUGGAGCAGUGAAAUGCGUAGAUAUUGUGAGGAACACUAGUGGCGAAGGCGAAUCUCUGGACAGUUCCUGACGCUGAGGCACGAAGGCCAGGGAGCAAACGGG
rnacentral:rRNA from 1 species